rnacentral:rRNA from 1 species
AUGCAACACAAAAUAAAUGAAAAAGUAAACAAGGUGCAAACCAAUAGUUUGUUCUUUAAUCCCCUCCCCAACCUCAACUUUUUUUAUCAGUUGCAUGCUGGAACCAUAAAUAUCCCUAAACUGGGAGAGUUGCUUGUGUUGGGUUCAAAGUUUCGCCCUACCAGUUAUGUCUUGAUGACAUGUGGUGCUAAUUUUUUAAGUUCACUUAUUGCCUUUUUUUGUCAGGUCCAACUUUCUCUUCUUCCUAUCUCUAUCAUAUGGGCAUGGGACAAAUGCGAGCAGACAUGGCUAAAGAUGGACAAAUGGGCCCACUGCGAGAGUCUCGAUAUGCCAAUGGAACUAGGUUUGUUCCUAUUUUGGUGUGGCAGCUAUAUCGCUUCACGUGAGAUGGUAGCGUCACUCGCUUGA